AGAACGAACGCUGGCGGCACGCCUAACACAUGCAAGUCGAGCGAGACCUUCGGGUUUAGCGGCGGACGGGUUAGUAACGCGUGGGAACGUACCUUUUGCUUCGGAAUAGCCUCGGGAAACUGGGAGUAAUACCGAAUGUGCCCUUUGGGGGAAAGAUUUAUCGGCAAAAGAUCGGCCCGCGUCUGAUUAGAUAGUUGGUGGGGUAAUGGCCUACCAAGUCUGCGAUCAGUAGCUGGUUUGAGAGGAUGAUCAGCAACACUGGGACUGAGACACGGCCCAGACUCCUACGGGAGGCAGCAGUGGGGAAUCUUAGACAAUGGGCGCAAGCCUGAUCUAGCGAUGCCGCGUGAGUGACGAAGGCCUUAGGGUCUAAAGCUCUUUCGCCAGGAUUGAUAAGUGACAGUUACCUAGGUAAAACGAAACCCCCGGCUAACCGUCCGUGCCAGCGAGCCGAC
rnacentral:rRNA from 1 species